ACAAAGUCUCACUAUGUUGCCCAGGCUGGUCUUGAAAUCCUCUCAAGAAAUCCUCCCACUUCAGCCUCCCAAAGCAUUGGGAUUACAGGCCUGGGGCAGACUGGAAAAUGCACAUGACUAACAAGCUACUGGAAUGCCCGUGCUGUUGCUCUAUAGGACCACAAAAACUCGGCUUGAAAAGGCAAACAUUCAACAAAAAUUGUACCCCAGAUGAAGAAGUAAUAGAGAGUAGGAGGAGAG